ensembl:lncRNA
AUCACUAAUCAUUUUAUGUUGUUUUAUAAAGUUUUGUCAUAACAGAGAAGUCAUGUGACAUGUUUGGUACCAUAUUUUCUAAAUGACCCAGUUAUGGCUCACAGUGAAUAUAGUGCACUUACAAAAAAGCAUUGAUAACUGUCAAAAGGUGGCUUUAGGUCUCUUCAAGAGUCCCUACACAUGGGGACUAGUGGUGGGGCCUCCCCUGCUUGGCCACAUGAUGAUGAUUACAGGUGUCUGCAGGAGACAUUGCCAUACAAAACAUACAAUUUUAGGCCAAAAAGGGGGUUUAAAAAAUAAAGUAAAAUACAUACAUACAUAAAGUAAAAGUAAAAGUAAAAAUAAAAUUUCUUAUAUGUACACAAAAAAUAACAUGCAUAUCUUUUUUUUUUUUUUUAAUCUUUUUUUUUAAUCUUUUUUUUGAUUUAGCAUUGAAGAGACACUGGCCUUUGGGCUGACUGAUAUAUUGUGUGAAGGAAUGGCAGCAUGUCAGUGACUGAAGUUGACUUGCUGUAUGUGCUCUGGUGACCGAUGGCAGCAGAUGGUUAUUAUGCUGAACACCCGGAGUGAUGCCUCAUACACAAACCUGUCACUCACAGGUCACUCGUUCACAUUUCUCACUCACAUGCAUGUGCUGUCUCACAUAUCUAUGGUACUUUCGAGUGCAUAUGUGUGUGUGUGUUUGUUUUAAUGGGUAAAUGUUUCAUAUCACAACAGAAAUAAAUGUGCAGUGAUAAUAUUAUAAAAAUGUUUAACUUGGUACAAAUGAUUGUAGAGUUGUAGUGAUACAAAUGAAACAGCACAUUAAGUAGGUUAUUCUGCCCUCUUGAUCUUUUGACCUAUUUUUGACAGGUUCAUUUGAGUCAAGGCUAGGUGGGUACUUUUGACAGUUUUAAAAUAUGAUAUUUGUAUGAAUAUUAAAUUCAGAUUGAAAAUGAUAUUUAAUUUUGUAGGACUGUUAAAUUUUGGACAUACAACCUUGAGUCUUGCACGUUUGUGAAUUAAACUUUAAGCACAAAAUAUAAAAUGGCAUGCAACAUAGGAAAACGAUCUAAAUGUAUUAUUUUUAUGAAUAAUAAUUAUAACAAUAAUGAAAAGGAUAUGUGUAAAACAGAUAGAACUAUAUUAUUUAUGUUUUCAAUAUCCUACGAUCAAUAUUCUCGUCCAGUAUAUUGGUGUGUUGAGAGCAGGUUUCAGAUUCAGGUUCCAAUUCAGUAAGAAUUUUGCUGUUCUAUGUGACAGCAUGAAAAUUGGAGUGCAAUGCAUAGCUUGAAUAGUGUUUCCAUUUAUACACACUGUAUACAGAAUGUUACAUGCAAAAGUACAAUAUAAAGUUAGUGCUGAUGCUUUUAAAACUAUAAAAAUGUUAAAGUCAUCACAACUUUUGCAAUGUUUUGAAAUACAGUAAAUCAGUUAUGUAAAACCAAACAUACUGUAUAUGUUAAACAAAUUUUGGUUACACUUUACUUUAAGGUAUCCUUGUUACAGUGUAAUUAUACAUGUGAGUACUGAGUAAUAUUAAUUAACUUCAUGUACUUAAUAUAUGCUUAGGAUUAGGGUUUGGCUUAGGGUUACUUGCUUGUAAUUACACAUAAUUUAUUGUUAUUAUAAUAGUAAGUACAUGUAAGAUGUAACAAGGACACCUAAAAAUAAAGUGUUACUCAAUUGUUUUUUUUUUUUUUUUUUUAAAGCAACAUCUGUAAAUAACGGGCAAAAAACAUACACGCCCAAAUUUCUAAACUUGUCCACAUCAUCCGGGAAGUGUGUUGUGUUUUCCAUGGUUUAAAACCAGAGCUGUGUGAAGCGGAAAACCGAGCUCUCGAGAUAGACCAGCUGUCAGAUCUAAGCCUGUAAACCCCACACAGACAUAAAGCCCACAUCCACUGCACCUGUUUUCCACGCAGACAAAAUCACUCACACUUCCUGUUGAUGUUUUUCUGUGUCAUCUUCAUUUGAAGAUUACAAAAUAUUAAAAUUUUAAUUUAAAUAUAUUAUCAUAUUUUCAUCUUGCAAAGGAGGGUAUGAGAAUGCAGUUGAUUUAUAGAAUAAAGGUUGAUAAAGCCUGUUUAUUAAUCUCAUGUUUUGUUUUGUGUAUCUGCAUUGUACAGCAGUCUAAAAGAUUACCUGCCUUUUUAAAAUUAGUUUAUGACAAUAAAAAUUUCAUUCAUGU